rnacentral:misc_RNA from 1 species
GCAUUCAGGUAGACAGCCCCUUUGUACAUCCAUUCCUCUGUUUCAUCACUAUAGAAAUCAUCAAAAGGCUCUCCGCAUAAUGCACAUGCCUUCUGCUCUUCAUCAGCGGGAACAGCCAUUUCUUCAUCAUCCUUCUUCUCCACAACAGUCUCAGUAGGCAAAAAUCCAGGAACUGCAUCAGUUCCCAAUGCCUCUGCCCCACUGAGCCACAUACUUGCACUAACAAACCACUUGCGAGAGGGU